AGAGCAUAUAAAGCUGAUUGAGAACAACACACUAGAUACCAGGUGACAGGGAUCGUUGAGACUCCAAAAAUGCAAGUAGUCGUACAAGUAGUCUUUGUCGCUGUGUUCGUCACGGCUGCGCUCGCAUGGGAGGAGCCUCAGUAUAAGCGGUUCUUCCCCAAACCAGAAGCGAAGACAGAGCCAUCCUAUUAUUAUGACAGGCAAGAUGACGACAGACCCAAGGACUGGAAGCCGAGAAAUGACAACAAACGACGUGAUUACUAUUAUUAUGACAGUCAAGAUGACUACAAACCCAAGGACUGGAAGUCGAUCAGUGACUACGAACAACGUGAUUACGACUACAACAACGACUACUACUACCCUUCACAGCCCCGCGUACCCGACAGCACAAACUCAGGGUAUGCUUACGACACGCAAUAUUAUGAACCUAGAUCUGCCAACCCACAACCAGUGCUUGAGUUGAAUGGAAACCUGAAGUUGUAUGGCAGCCGAAGGAGGAACGGCCCAUUCCUCAACAAACUAACUCGGCAGGACUACUACUGGUGAUUUGUCUGUAAUUCUCGGGCAGUUCGGCGCAUUGGGCUUCUCGGAAAUGAUUAAAGUUACGUCAAAUACUCA